rnacentral:rRNA from 1 species
UACGUAGGGUCCAAGCGUUGUCCGGAUUUAUUGGGCGUAAAGAGCUCGUAGGCGGUUCGGUAAGUCGGAUGUGAAAACUCAGGGCUCAACCCGGAGACGCCAUCCGAUACUGCUGUGACUUGAGUCUGGUAGGGGAACACGGAAUUCCUGGUGUAGCGGUGAAAUGCGCAGAUAUCAGGAGGAACACCUGCGGUGUAGACGGCUUACUGGACCAUCACUGACGCUGAGGCACGAAAGCGUGGGUAGCAAACAGG